AGGGUGGGUGUGAUGUUAUAAGCUGAGGAAAAAGUCGUGCAUGCAAGCAGCCUAUUUGUGUUAUGGUAAAUAUACUUUGUUUUUAAUUUUGACUGGAGUUAAGGGGAAUAGCAGUUGUAGACCACAAGAGCUGGGAGGAGACAGCAGAGCAGUUGGGUGGUGAGGAAGGAGAGGAUGUGAAGAGCAGUCAGGAUGAACCUGCUAUGGGAAGUCUGAAGUUCAGACUGUUCUGAAAACAGCUUAUUUUAUCCACAGCUCCUAGUUGCAGAACCUCCAAGAUACUUCUCUUCUGGGUCUGGCAGAAGAUCAGUUUGUUUGUCCUGAAAAGCUCUGGGAGAUGGAUUUGUGCAAAGCAUCUGGAAGAGCCUGGCUGUAACUCACACUGCCUCUCCAAGGAUGGAGUCCCUCUGUGCUGAGCAGGGGCUCUGCAACCAUCUCUAUUGCACAGAGACGCCCCGAUGCAAGUGCUAAUCAACCCAAGCGAUGAUUGCAAUUGCACUGCAACUUAUUUUGAUAAUGUGUUUUGGCUCCUUAGCUACAGGUCCAAAUAAUUUAGCAGUCAUCCAGACACCGACGAAAGUACACUUAUCAAUUGGAGACUCCACGGAAAUUGCAUGUAUUUGGGAAAAAAUCAGUUCGAUUGAGAGGUAUAGAGUAAGCUGGUAUCUUGUCAAUGAAGAGAACAUCACAAAAACUGUAACAUCGGAGCUUGUCUACAUAUCCAAUGUCACCCACAAAAACAAGGAUGUGCUAGUGAUAGAAGCUGCCAAUGUAAAUAACACUGGAUUUUACUACUGUGAGAUAAUUAUUGAAAUACCUUUCUGUGAAAGAGUAUAUGGAAAUGGAACAACACUGACUGUUGAAAUGAAAGGUUCUACCCAGCUUCCUAUGCCAGAAGAAAGACAUGAGGAGGAGCAGAUGCUUCAGCUAGAUGAACUUCAUGGAAGAAGUGAAUUCAUCAAUGAAGCAGCUGAAGAAAACUCAUCAUGUAAUUCUGCUGAAUGGGCUGUGUCUACACUGUAUGAAUCAUUUGAUCUUUUUUGCAAUGAACCAAGAUAAAAGAUGGCAAAUCCAUUGUGACUACUGUAUCCAGUGCAGCAGAUGAAGAAAGCCCAUGAAUGAGGGCAGCUGAAGAGUCAGGAACAAAAGUGAGACAAGGAUUUACUAUCUACUUUGACACUAAGAACUAAAGGAUCAUGUCAUAAAUAACCGGUAUGGAUAAAGAUCUAUGAAACUGAAAACAAUACCAUAAUUUGCUGCUGAAAUAUGGAUUACAUGAGUCUGCUGUCAGAAGCACAUCAGUGGGACAAUAUGCCAGAACAAAUGUUGGUUCAGAACAGUCUCUGAAUGUUUUGUCAUUGACUUUAUCAUAAGGAUCUGUGAAUUUGGAGUGUUCACAGUUUUAGAAGACUAUGUCUUCAACUCUACCCCCAAUAUCCAGAGUGCAGAACUAAUAAGGGAUGUAUUGCCAUACUUCGUGUCUUCUGGAUUGAACGGUAUUUUUCAACAAAAGUGUUACUUCAGGCAGCCAAGCAUUGGCUGCCUGAAAUUUAAUGGCAAUCUUUCAACCAAAUAGGUAGGUACUACAUAUAGGACGAAGUCUGAUCCCUGAAACAGUCAUCAGUGCUGACUGCAUCUUACCAAGGGUGAUAUGCCAAAAGGCAUUACUUUCCUGCAGACAGGAACUGCUGAUGUUAAUUUAUUCACAAUAUUAAAGCCUGCCAGAGUAGGUAGUCUCCUAUGGUCAAUGAAAUACUCAGUUUAAAUGAAAUUAUAUAUAAUAGAAUUAUAUAUAAUUAUCAUUUGAUUGUGGGGAGGUUUGGAGCAAAUGGGUGUUAACACUUAUUCCACUUUUGCCCAUUCUAAAACUAGAGAAUCACUGAAGAAAUAAAUCAAAACUAAAAAUGCA
rnacentral:lncRNA from 1 species